GAUGAACGCUGGCGGCGUGCCUAAUACAUGCAAGUCGAGCGAACGGACGAGAAGCUUGCUUCUCUGAUGUUAGCGGCGGACGGGUGAGUAACACGUGGAUAACCUACCUAUAAGACUGGGAUAACUUCGGGAAACCGGAGCUAAUACCGGAUAAUAUUUUGAACCGCAUGGAUCAAAAGUGAAAGACGGUCUUGCUGUCACUUAUAGAUGGAUCCGCGCUGCAUUAGCUAGUUGGUAAGGUAACGGCUUACCAAGGCAACGAUGCAUAGCCGACCUGAGAGGGUGAUCGGCCACACUGGAACGGAGACACGGUCAAGACACCUACGGGAGGCAGCAGUAGGGAAUCUUCCGCAAUGGGCGAAAGCAUGACGGAGCAACGCCGCGUGAGUGAUGAAGGUCUUCGGAUCGUAAAACUCUGUUAUUAGGGAAGAACAUAUGUGUAAGUAACUGUGCACAUCUUGACGGUACCUAAUCAGAAAGCCACGGCUAACUACGUG
rnacentral:rRNA from 1 species